rnacentral:rRNA from 1 species
AGCAGCCGCGGUAAUUCCAGCUCCAAUAGUGUAUAUUAAAGUUGUUGCAGUUAAAAAGCUCGUAGUUGAACUUCGGGGUCUACCCAUUGGUCAGGCUUAAUUGUCUGCACUGGUGAGAUGGAUCUCUACCUUCUGAGGAACUUUCAUGCCAUUUAUUUGGUGUGGUUGGAAAUCAGGACUGUUACUUUGAAAAAAUUAGAGUGUUUAAAGCAGACUAUCGUCUGAAUACAUUAGCAUGGAAUAAUGAAAUAGGACGGACUGAUCCUAUUUCGUUGGUUUCUAGGAUCACCGUAAUGAUUAAUAGGGAUAGUUGGGGGCAUUAGUAUUCAAUUGUCAGAGGUGAAAUUCUUGGAUUUAUUGAAGACUAACUACUGCGAAAGCAUUUGCCAAGGAUGUUUUCAUUAAUCAAGAACGAAAGUUAGGGGAUCGAAGACGAUCAGAUACCGUCGUAGUCUUAACCAUAAACUAUGCC